GCUCGCGUGGUCUAGUGGUAGUGAGUUUCACCACUGGAAUAUUCACUUUACCAUCCACUAACACCUCCCAGUGACGUGUCCUUCACACGGACAAGGUCCCGGGUUCGAGACCCGGCGUGAGUA